rnacentral:rRNA from 1 species
GUACUUUUCAGCUAGUGAGGUAAGGUGGAUAUUGUUAAAUGCAUUAUUCUAUUUUCGACGUUUAGCUGCAGAAGAAGCACCGGUCUAACUCCGUGCCAGCAGCCGCGGUAAUACGGAGGGUGCGAGUCGUUAAUCGGAAUUACUGGGCGUAAAGCGCUAUGCAGGUUGGUUUUGUUAAGUCAGAUGUGAAAGCCCCGGGGCUCAACCUCGGAAUUGCAUUUGAAACUGGCAAACUAGAGUACUGUAGAGGGGGUAGAAUUUCAGGUGUAGCGGUGAAAUGCGUAGAGAUCUGAAGGAAUACCGGUGGCGAAGGCGGCCCCCCUGGACAGAUACUGACACUCAGAUCGCGAAAGCGUGGGGAGCAAACCAGGAUUAGAUACCCUCGGUAG